UACGUAGGGGGCUAGCGUUGCUCGGAAUUACUGGGCGUAAAGCGCACGUAGGCGGCUUUCUAAGUCGGGGGUGAAAUCCUGGAGCUCAACUCCAGAACUGCCUUCGAUACUGGAGAGCUUGAGUCCGGGAGAGGUGAGUGGAACUGCGAGUGUAGAGGUGAAAUUCGUAGAUAUUCGCAAGAACACCAGUGGCGAAGGCGGCCAACUGGACCAAUACUGACGCUGAGGCGCGAAAGCGUGGGGAGCAAACAGG
rnacentral:rRNA from 1 species